rnacentral:lncRNA from 1 species
AUGGAACUUUUAUGGGAUUUGAAGCUUGAAGAUUUUUUCCCCACUCUGUUCCCAUGAAACAGUCAUCCACUGUGUUAUAAAGGUUAUUAAAUAACACUAGGCCCAGGACAGAACAUUUUGGCAUCCCACUACUCACUACUCUCCAGGAUGAAGAGUUCCUCCUAUAAACAGAUCCCAUCACAGACAUCCCAUUAACAUAACCAUCACUGUUUGUUAGGAUCUUCUACGUUUGUAUACAAAACAAGUGAGAAAUAUGUUGCACCUUAAAUUCUUGGCAGAGUUUAACUUCUGACAAAUAUCAGGAUAGCUGAAUCCUACCAUAACUAUUCCAUUUUCCCCUCCUUCUUGCUAGUUUUGUGAGUGUCUAUUUCUGGCAUCAACAGAGGCAUCUGCUGCAAUAGCCAGGAACUCUGUGACCAGAUAGGACUGGUGACAGUGGUGAAAUGGAUAAGCCAUCCUUCCCCCUGUCAGCCAUUGGAGAGCAGAAAUCUGCAUUGGAAGGAGGGUGCUGCAGUCCAGCCUCAGAGAGGGAGUCCUCCCAGUUGGUGUGGCAUCAGAGACCAUCUCCUCUAAUCAGCACGAAGCCAGUCCAAGCUGGGCAUGAGUGGGAAAAACAAAAGACCUUACUGUAUAAAAAUGUCUGCUUUAUUUGUGUCAAACAUGUCAGCUUCUUUGAGUGGCAUACCACUGGCUGUCAUCCCUUCCGUUUGGAUUGAAUAAAAUACCUCGGUGGCUUCUGCUUCAACAGAUGAGAUUUCUUUGAUUGGAGAACAUUGGGUUUUAGCUUUAAACGUCACUAGGCAUGGACUCACAGUAGCCUAGUGCUGGAUCUCACUAUCCACUUGUCAGGUUUUGGUAUCUGCGUGCUGUGUCUCGCUAUCUGUGGUCUGAAUCUCACUAUCCGUGAACCACUCUAAAUUGCUCGAUUUCAUUCUCACUUCCUUAAGAAAAUGAAAUAAGGACUAUUUGAUCUGGUUUGCUUGCUUCAAACCAAAAGGGGAAUGCAAAGCAGAGUGGAUGGUGAGCCCUAGUAUCACAAUGGCUAGAAAGGAAGGAGAAAGCUAAGUAACAUCUCCCACCGGAGUCUUUGCAAAUUGCAGCAAUACAUAGUAUAUUUGUUGAUGGCCCUUGUGGCAGAAUGUAAGCCGCUCUGAGUCCCCUCGGGGAGAAGGGCAGGGUAUAAAUGCAUGUAAUUAAUAAAUAAAUACAUGAAUUUAUUAUUGCAAACUGCAGGAUAUCCAAGGUGAGCUGGAUAUUUGCACACAACCAUUCCUCUUCCCUCGAACUAUGCUCCCCAAAACUUGAGAAAUUUCCCCCUUGUUUUCCACAUGAAGAUAUCCCAUCGAAACUAAUGACUCAAAGCCAGGCCCUAAUAUCUGGCAACUCUAUUG